rnacentral:lncRNA from 1 species
UAAUAAAUUAUUGGACAAAGACAAACAAAACAACAGCUUCUUUAAUAAGUAGUGAGCAAAAUAAUUUAGGAACACGUUUCAAUUUUUAUUAAAAGAUGAAAAAAGUGGUAUGUAAAGGUCACGCUUAUGUCCAAAAUGUUAAAAGAUCAUCGUGUGAUAGAUCUCAAAGUCCUGGUGGGUGGCUCACUGUUUGGCAGAAUGUAACUGGUAGAACCCCUAAAAAAUGUUCGAUGUUUAACUGCUCAAAUGAUGCUGAUGUGGGAGGGCAUUUGUGGCGAGAAAAACUUUCAAAAAAUUAUUAUUAUAUUGCCCCGAUCUGUACUUCAUGCAACAAUGAAAAGCAUGGCAAAGAUUUUUACUACAAAAUGAAAGCAAAUACUGCUUUUGUGAAAAUGGAAGUAAAUUUAUGCAUAAACACACGAUAGUAAAUUUAUGAAUCAGAUAAUAACAUUAAAAAAAACUUUGAAUAAUUGUUUCUUUGAUUCACAGAUUUUAUCAAUUAUUACAGCAAUUAGUUAUAUAA